rnacentral:sRNA from 1 species
UAGAAUGUGUAGGGAAUUCAACGAUUGC